ACCNCUUUCAGGGUCAUGAAUGAGGCUGC
rnacentral:piRNA from 1 species